rnacentral:rRNA from 1 species
AUUGAACGCUGGCGGAACGCUUUACACAUGCAAGUCGAACGGUAACGCGGAGAGAAGCUUGCUUCUCUCCGGCGACGAGUGGCGAACGGGUGAGUAAUACAUCGGAACGUGUCCGCUCGUGGGGGACAACCAGCCGAAAGGUUGGCUAAUACCGCAUGAGUUCUACGGAAGAAAGAGGGGGACCCGCAAGGGCCUCUCGCGAGCGGAGCGGCCGAUGACUGAUUAGCCGGUUGGUGAGGUAACGGCUCACCAAAGCAACGAUCAGUAGCUGGUCUGAGAGGACGACCAGCCACACUGGGACUGAGACACGGCCCAGACUCCUACGGAGGCAGCAGUGGGGAAUUUUGGACAAUGGGCGCAAGCCUGAUCCAGCUAUUCCGCGUGUGGGAUGAAGGCCUCGGGUGUAACCACUUUGUAGAGAACGAAAGACACCUUUAAAAAAGGUAGUUGACUGACGGUACUCUAAGAAUAAGCACCGGCUAACUACGUGCCAGCAG